rnacentral:misc_RNA from 1 species
AAAUGCGAUAAGUAAUGUGAAUUGCAGAAUUCAGUGAAUCAUCGAAUCUUUGAACGCACCUUGCGCUCCUUGGUAUUCCUUGGAGCAUGCCUGUUUGAGUAUCAUGAAAUCUUCAAAGUAAAUCUUUUGUUAACUCAAUUGGUUUCUACUUUGGUAUUGGAGGUCUUUGCAGCUUCACACCUGCUCCUCUUUGUUCAUUAGCUGGAUCUCAGUGUUAUGCUUGGUUCCACUCGGCGUGAUAAGUUAUCUAUCGCUGAGGACACUGUAAAAGGUGGCCAAGGUAAAUGCAGAUGAACCGCUUCUAAUAGUCCAUUGACUUGGACAAUACUUUUAUGAUCUGAUCUCAAAUCAGGUAUGACUACCCGCUGAACUUAAGC